rnacentral:piRNA from 1 species
UGGACUCUUGCUCUUUCUCCUGUAGCU